rnacentral:rRNA from 1 species
UGGGGAAUAUUGGACAAUGGGCGCAAGCCUGAUCCAGCCAUGCUGCGUGAGUGAUGAAGGCCCUAGGGUUGUAAAGCUAUUUCACCGGUGAAGAUAAUGACGGUAACCGGAGAAGAAGCCCUGGCUAACUUCGUGCCAGCAGCCGCGGUAAUACGAAGGGGGCUAGCGUUGUUCGGAUUUACUGGGCGUAAAGCGCACGUAGGCGGACUUUUAAGUCAGGGGUGAAAUCCCGGGGCUCAACCCCGGAACUGCCUUUGAUACUGGAAGUCUUGAGUAUGGUAGAGGUGAGUUGAAUUCCGAGUGUAGACGUGAACUUCGUAGAUAAUCGGAAGAACACCAGUAGCGAAGGCGGCUCACUGAACCAUUACUGACGCUGAGGUGCGAACGCGUGAGGAGCAAACAGG